AAAUUUCUUCUUCCUAUCCGGAAGAAGAUAGAUCUUCACAUAAGGAUCAGAAGUUCCUGUGAAAUCUUUAGCUGGGAGAUCUAAAGCUUUGAUAAUUUUAACAACUAGGAGUUCAUUUUCAUAAUCAUACUGGAGCGCAAAGUUAAGUUUCCCACAGGUCUUGACGUCGUCUUUUCUGUUGCCCUCGGAGUCAACCGAUUUCUGCUUGUAGAGUUCUGGUUUUAUCCUCCCGAUGCUCGUUCUCGUUUCUCCUCUUUGUAAGAUGGGUUCAGUGCCCACGCUAAAGUCGACGCUGGAGACAUUCAUUUGCCUUGGCACAUCUUCUUUGUGCCUCGGAACGUGAAGUGUAUGGUUGUGAAGUGUCUAAUAGGACUCACUUCUACCGAACCCCUUCUAAAGGAGUUAAAAACUGUAGUGUUACUUUUUUAUUCAAGGAGCAGUGCCCUAAUUACAGGGUAAACGGUGCACAUUCCAAGUCAGUCAGCGAGUUGGUUAACAAAAGCAUUCAUGGCUACAAUGUUGAACUGUCACCAUGACAACACACAGCUUCUCCCCCUUCCCCCGUUUCUCUCGGAACGACUGAUGAGCGAGUGUUCAAACACUGAAAAUUCGAACCACUGCAUCUUUUACCAUUCAGACUUCUGGAGACCCGUGCAAGUGCUCUGGGAGAAGUGCAAGGCCUUAGAGGACUACAACUGGACCCCGGUUGUCUUACAAAGAGGCUAACUGCAUAACUCACCAAGUGUACAGAUGUCCUCUACACUUUACUGCUUGAAAGAAACCUGUCCCAGACUUCUCAUGUGGUCGCUGAUACUUUCUCCCCAUGUCUUAUUCUAUUGUGUCUUGGCCUGGAAUAUUCCAUUGUUCUUGUCUGCAAGAACAUUACCACAGUUCAGAAAUAAAUGCCACCUCAGUGACUUGUCAGCUAAGCAC
rnacentral:lncRNA from 1 species